GGUUUGUGCCCGCGCCCGUGGCUCUAAGUAUGCUCGCCCAGAGGUAAUUCAGGAUGGGCACGUUUUUAAGCACCUCUCUCUACGCAGCACACGGAAGGGAAUUAGUGACAUGUCUCAGUCUGAAGAGGUGCUGGUCAGCCUGGAGAAGCUAUGGCAGAAGGGCUCCCCCCAGAAACACUGUCAACACCAGGAGCCCCUUCCACCUUCUGUGUCAGGAUUGUUUGUGUGUACACAUCGAGGCACCCAGAGCAGGAUUUUCCAAAUCUAGCCGGCUGCUCGGCAGCUCACCUGAUCCCCUAGGAUUUCAACCUGUUGAUGGAUGCUGUCAGGGGGAAAGGGUGGCUGGGAAGGUUCUGAAGGGCUGUGGAGCAAGGAGAGGUCUACCAGAUGGGACCUUCAGUUGUUUUCCUGGAUGAGAUCAAUGCUCUUGCUCCUGUAUGGUCCAGCAAACAAGACCAGGUCCAUAGGUGGGACAUGUCUUGUAUCUGUAUAGAAGGUGCUUGAUCUUUGUGAAAAGAAGACUGCAUCCUAUUUAACGUGGUGUCACUGUGACACCUUCAUUUAACCUGAAAAGUAGCAAUGCAGUAAUCAGAGCCAUCAGCAGACUGGAAUCUGUGGAUCCUGCUUUACAAAGACCUGGACACUUUGUGUGAGAAUUCCACUUCAACUUGCCAAACAAAGAGGCAAGAAAAGGGAUUUUCAUAAGUCACACAUGAGACUCGACCCUGAAGACUUUGGAAAACUUUCUUGAAGAGCUGGCUGUGCUAUAAAGAACUGUGUUGGUGAAAUAUGUGUAGUUAACAAAAAUUUUCAAGGAAGGAAAAAAGCCAAACAUCAAACGAUCCCACGUUUAAAUGCCAGGUGCAUUAAUCUCCAGACAGAGCUUUCAGAUGCACUUCAGGAGCCACAGGAAGCAAGAAAUUAUCUUCCCUGGGAGUCAGAAUAUGGCACAUGACAGCAAGCCAACCUGUCUUGUGCUAGGCUACACUGAGCCUGCUCUGAAAGCUUUCUAGGGGAAAUUCGGAGCUGUUCCCAAAGUCACUGCUGGUUUUCCAUCCUUCCAAGCUGCCCAAGAGAUGUAAAAUGUGGAGCAGGAAGGACUCACAGGACUGUCUGUGCUUGUAUGACAGCAGGUAGUUGGCCAGGAAUAUGCUAUACAUCAAGCACUGCAGGGCAUAAUUGAUGAAACAAGUGUUGCUCAGGUUUUGGAGGCCACCUUCAACAGCCCACUUUUCCUGCCAGGCCAUGGAGCUCUUCAGUGGAAGAAGAUUCCAUUCUGGCAGAGCCAUUUCAAGAUGGAGGACAACACUCAUGGAGGAGCACCACCAUUGCAAUGGUUGCAGUGCCUUGGUUUUGGGUCCAUUUUUGCUUGCAUGCUCAAGCUCUUUGCAGAAAUCAGAAGCAAUUUAAUUGUCCUACACUCCUCAGUGCCUCUGACUACACUCCUGUGUAGUCACACACUCCUGUGCAGUCACACUCCUGUGUGGCACACCCUAUUCCUGCAGUGGUGCCACACAGGACUUCCUGCUGAGCCCCAUCUUUGUGUCUUCCAGGAGCUCACCUGCAAAUUUUCUUCAGCUUCUGGAUUUCUGAUUCCCACAAUAUCUUCCAUAAAGAUGUGCACUCAACCCAGCUUUGCCACACCAGCACUCUGUGUCUCUUGGGACUCGGCGCCUGCUCCAGGGGCAAGCCUGGAGAAACAAGGGUGGUCUGAGUUGGGGGUGUCCCUGCAGCCUCCUCGAGGCUCCAGUCCCAUCCUGUCAUGUUCAGGCAGCACAGGAGAAGACACAGCAAAGACUAAAACCAGCACUAGAAGCUGGAAAUUAGAUCAAGGUGCUCCAGCCCCAGCUGUCCCUGGACAGGGACAAUUCCUGUUCUCCCUGUCCACAAGAAGAGACAGUGCAUGGCAUUAAAAAGCCAUUAUGGAAUGGUCCUGGAAUGACUGGGACAGACUGAAGGCAACAGGGAGACACAAGGUAACACAGGAGCUUCUCCAAGGAUGUUGAUUCCAACCCAGGGACCCUGUAAUCCCAUGCUACAUCCCAACCUGCUGCCAUCCCCCCAUAUACACACACCUUUGGGGAGCAUACCCUGGCAAGCUCAUCCCAGCACCCUGUGCCUGCUGAACCAGCAUUCCUGAGACCUGCCCCCCCACUCAACCAGCCCUGUUCCACCACUGUGUCCCUGCCUCAAUCAGUAAAUGCUGGACUGAUGCCAGAGGGAUGUGUGUUUCCUGGGUGUCCCCAUGCACGGGCUAUGUGUCCCUUGGUGUCAAGUCCAGUCAGAACACACCCCUGUCUUGAUGGGUUUCUGUGUCCUAUGGAUCUGCAUGUCCAAAACUAGCACACAUCUUCAGGGAUGCAAGAAAUGAAUGAGAAAUUAAGUAAUUUUUUAAUCAUCUGUCAUUCUAUAAACUGACAAUAUUUCACUGUUGAUCAUCUUUUUUGCUUCGUUUUGUGAUUUUGGCCCUUUUCCAGAUCUCUUCCAUUUCCAACGUGUUGCUU